GUACACUGUGUCUGUCUCGCAAAAACGCGUUGUGAAUGGCCUCUUUGUACUAGGCCACUAAUGUGACGGAACAUUUUGUUGGUGACUUGAGCUGCGUCCAAAAUCGCAUACUGUUGAGUAGGUACUACAUUUGAAUUUAAAUUUACUUCACGACCGUUGAUAAAGUGCGUUCUAUAUAGUAGGAAUGCGUGUAGUAUGAAUGUAUUCUGACGUACUACAUCCACCAUACUGUCACAUGACCUACCAGCAUCAGUUAAGUCCCUUCAACUCCAUUUACAAAUCCUCUGCUAUGGCCUCACGGGAUAGUAAAGUGUCCAUCAUGUGCGCACUUCAGAAUCUCACCGGAAGUAGGGAAGUUUCCGUGUUUCUGGCACUUUUUCUCAUCCUUUCCUGCCAGAACUUGGACCCUGUGGACCCGAACCAAUUUCAUCAUCAAUGUGUGACUGAGUCACACUGCUACUCAGCAAAGAGAUCGGAAUGAGUCAGUGAGUUGAAUUUGAGAACUGCAGCAAUCUGAUUUAUAAACAAAUGGUUCAGGCAAGUUUCAUGGAUUGGAUCAACCAGUCUGAUAAAUUGGACAUCACUACUCUUAUCCUGAAUGCAUCCAUCCCACAUGUCAAGAUUUUCAUCCUCAUUCACAUUCACUGUAUUGAAAACAAGAUAUUCAUCAAAAUUCAUCUUUUGUGUGCCACAGAAGAAUAAAAGCAAUUCCAGUUUGGAACAACAUGAGGGUGAGUAAAUGGUGACAGAACUUUUAUUUUUGGGUGAAUUAUCCCUUUAAGAGGUUAAUGACAUCUUGGAGUGUUUCAAUGUUUAUGUGUGUGUUUCAGACCACAGUAUCUGUGUCAUCAUAUCUUGCAGUAGACAGUCAGGCCACCCUUGCAUACUGAGCGGUCCUGGCCAAUGACCACAUCCCCCCACCCCCUUUCAGAAAGAUGGGGUGAUGGAUGGAAAGUCAGGAUGAUGGCUGUUUUUCCUCUAUUCCGCUCUCUCCGCACCAUGUUUUCCCCCCUCCCCUCGUCUUUCUUUCAUGUCCUGCUGAAGAUAUACAGCUUCCUGCCUGAAUGCACACGUGGAACUUCUCUCAUGUUCUUUUUCCUUCUAUCCCUCUUUUUCCUGUCUUAUAUUCUAUUUCCUGUCCUUAUUCCUUCCCUUUCUUGUUCAUAUCUUUCCUUUUUAGCAUUUCAUUUUCAUCUAUCCACAAAGAUUCUCUCUCUCUCUGUGCGAAACAGCACCUUUACAGUUAAUUUGAGAUUGGAAUGGCAUACUAACUACUACUUUUGAAAAAAAGAGUAUGUAGUAUGCAUACUGUGCACAGUGUUUGCUGUAUGCAUGGAAUACUAUGUUUACUAGUAUGUUCAGUAUACAACAGAGAAAAUGAUUGCUGAAGCCUUUUUCAAUCACAGCAGUGCAUCUACUGUGCAGUACUCGUUCCAGUAUCUCAGGGAACCGAGGUUACAUUAGUAACCGAAUAUUUCCCCUUUCAAUACUUUACUCGUACUGCGUCACUAGACACGGUGGGGAACCUAUUCAAUCACACCGUGCUAUGGUAAAUGAACGACUUAUAAGUAAUUGCCCAGGGCGUCCAGAAGGGGCCCCGUAGAUCAGCUACAAUGGAGCAGGCCAUAGCCAGAGAGAAGGUAAAAAACGGGCUAACUCACAGAGGUUGAGCCCGGCCUCAUAUAAUUGUUCUAGAGCUUCCCACAGCCUCGGAACUAGAUAGGGCAGAGAGCGUGCAGGAAGCUAAGCCCAGAUGUGGGAAUUUCAGCGGGUUUGAGACAUAGUCAGACCCAGCAAGGAUUAAAUCCAGCCUUAGGGCGGGAAUAUGGUUCCCGGAGCAUUGAGCUCAGAGAGACAGUUAAGCAGAAAGGACCUGAGCCUGCAAAGCAGGGAUGUCCAGGUUGAAAAACCUGACAAAAGUGGAUGGCGAGGACCAGCCAGCUGCCACAUAAAUUUCUGCAAUGGACACACCACUGGGCAACGUCCAGGAUGAGGCCAUGCCUCUCGUGGAAUGUGCUCUGACCCCGAUGGGGCAUUGAAGGCCCAAGGAGGAGUAUGCAGAGCUAUUGUGUCAACUAUCCAACAGGAUGGUCUUUGCUUUGUGACCGAAAGCCCCUUGGUGUGGCCACCAAAGCAUACAAAGAGCUGCUCCAACUGCCUAAAAGAGGCAGAGCGGUCAAUGUAGAUUUUUAAUGCCCUGACAGGACAGAGCAGAUUUAGCUUCUGGUCCUCCUGUGAGGGAGGGAGCGCAGAGAGCGUGAUUACUUGUGCUCUGAACAGAGUAGGUACCUUAGGUACAUAACCAUGCCUAGGUUUCAGGACGACCUUAGAGUCGUUAGACCCGAAUUUAAGGCAGGAGGGGGCUCACAGCGAGCGCCUGUAAAUCUCCAACUCACUUAACCGAUGCCAAAGCUAAUAGCAGAGCGGUUUUGAGCGAUAGGGGUCAAAUAUCAGCUGAUUGCAGCGGUUCAAAGGGGGGUCUUUUAGGGGGUGGGGGUGCGACCCUUAUCCAACAGCUCUUGAAUGAAGGACAAUAUCGAACAUAUGUUGCAUGUGGGUGGAUCUUCACUUCGGUUUGUGCACCAAGUGGUGAAGACUGACCAUUUGAGAGUGUAGAGGCGCCUUGUGGAUGGGGCUCUAGCCUGAGAAAUGGUAUUUAAGACACCCUCUGGGAGGUUCAUAGGUUCCCAUCGAGAGGCCAUAAGUGUAGGGCCCACAGCUCAGGCUGUGGGAGCCAUUUCGUCAUGUUCACCUGAGAGAAGAGGUCCCGUCUCAGGGGAAUGGGCCACGGAGCUGCCAUGAGCAGCUGAGACAUCUCUGAGAGUCAGCGUUGGUUUCUCCAGAGCGGGGCCACUAGAAGAACCUUGUGUUUCUGUUCCCUGAUUCACCUGAUAACCUUAGGGAUCAGGGCGAUUAGGGGAAAGUGUAAAAAGAGAAGGCUGGGCCAAUCAUGGGCCAGCCAAUCCCUUUCCUUCAAAAAAUAGACUGGGCAGUGAGAGUUGUCUUUUGAGGUGAAGAGGUCGACCUCUGCCUCCCCGAAUAUCUCCCAUAUUCUCUGAACUGUCUGGGGGUGGAGCAUCCACUUGCCAGAGGGAACGUUGCUCCGAGAUAGCAUGUCUGCUCCCCGGUUCAGUUUGCCUGGCACGUGCGCUGCUUUCAGAGAGCGCAGGUGACAAUGUGCCCACUUCAGAAGGCUCUUUGCCAUCGUUAAGAGGCGUGGGGAGGAAAGGCCGCCCUGACAAUUUACGUAGGAUACUACCGUCAUGUUGUCUGAUCGGGCUAAGACUUGCCAUCCUUCUAGAUGUGGUAGAAAGGACUGUAAGGCCUGCCAUACUGCCAGCAUUUCCAGGCAGUUGAUGUGCAGCUUUGUCUCUUCGCUCGACCAUGUGCCAAAGGCUGGUCUACCGUCGCACAGGGCUCCCCAGCCCGUGUUUGACACAUCUGUGAAGAUGAACUUCCUUUUGAAGGCGGUCAUCAGCUGCUGUAUAGCCAGGACACAUUCUGGCGAGGAUACAGCUCUCAUUUGGGUUGAGUUGAAGACAGCCCCCAAAAAUGAUAUUCGUUAGCUGGGAAUCAUCAAGCUUUUGGCAUAAUUGACCCUGAGCCCCAAGCGCUCUAAGUGGCUGAGGAGCAAUGAUCUGUGGGAUAGUAGCUUGGCCUCUGACUGGGCUACACAAGCUAGUCGUUGAGGUAAUUCAGAAUGCGGAUUCCCAUCUGUCUCCGAGGGGAGAGAGCUGCAUCUAUGCACUUCAUGAAAGUGCGGGGGGCCAGGGACAGCCCAAACAAAAGGACAGUGUAUUGAUAUGCCACUUCCUCAAAGGCGAAUCUCAAGAAGCGCCUGUGAUGGGGGGCUAUCUGGAUGUGAAAAUAAGCAUCCUUCAGAUCCAGAGAAAAGAACCAGUCCCCUGGGCGUAUUUGUGAGAGGAUCUAUUUCACAGUAAUCAUUCUGAAUGAGCGCUUUAUCAGGGCCCGGUUCAGAUGUCUGAGGUUGAAGAUGGGUCUGAGACCACCGUCCUUCUUUGGGACAUGGAAGUAACGGCUGUAGAAGCCUGACUUGCUCUGAGCUGGGGGAACCACUUCUAUGGCUCUUUUUGCCGGCAUUGUGUUCACCUCGGAGUGCAGGACGGGAAUGUCCUCGUUCUUCAUGGAGGUGAGGACCACGCCAUUAAAUAAUGGGGCCCUUUGAGCGAGCUGGAGUACAUAACCUCGUUUUAUUAUACCCAAUACCCAUUUUGACACUCCGGGUAUGGCCAGCCAGGCCUCGGGCCCAUGUGGCAAGGGGUUAAAUUGGUUUGAGUGAUGGGUCGCUGCGAGGGGACCCGACGCUUGUGAUAUGUUUGUUUUAUCUUGUUGCUAUAACAGCGAUUAGUUGCAUGGGCGCGGGAACUUGAGUGGACCCAGUGCUAACAAACACAUUGUCUCCAGCACCCGGAACUGAACAGGGUGUUAGGUGGCAUAAAAAUUCAUGAAGAAAAGCUCUUUAGAGAAAAUAGUUAUAUGAGUCUCGAUUUAGUUAUAAGGGAGAACGUCAUACGUUAACGAGCUGUUAGCAUUCAGCAUUCAGCAUUCAGCUGAGUGCUGUCAGUGCUGUGCUUGCUCUCGCAGUGCGCUUCGCCAUAGGCUCGCGCAGCUCAGCCGCACCGUCAUUGGUUCAUUUCUGUACAUUUUUUGAACCAAUGGCAGAGCAGAUGCACUGCUGUGAUUGAAAAAGGCUUCAGUAAUCAGAGAAAAGGAGUUUUCCCCACUGCGUCUAGUGACACAGUAUGAGUAAAGUAUCGAAAGGGAACUGCAUUGAAUUGUUUUUUUGUUUUGUUUUUUACACAGAACUGGACUAAAAAUGCAAAAUCACAGUUCUCAUUUCCAAGAUAAUAUUGCUGACAGCACUUGCUGAAUUAACAACGUGCAACAUGAUGAGAUCAUGUGUAAGCCAUUUAGUAUACACACUACUGUUAAAAAGUUUGGAGUCAGUAAGAUUUUUCUUUUUGAAAGAAAUAGUGUGCAUUAAAUUGACUGAAAAUGACAGUAAAGA